UAAUUUUCUUAGGUUAAUUAAUGACGUUACAUUUGGUAUCAGAAAAGACUAGCAUGGCCUCUGCGCAAGGAUGACACACACAAAUCGAAAAAUGGUAUCAAGAGUC